UAGGGAAUAUUGGGCAAUGGACGAAAGUCUGACCCAGCCAUGCCGCGUGCAGGAUGACUGCCCUAUGGGUUGUAAACUGCUUUUGUACGGGAAGAAACCCCUGAACGUGUUCAGGGCUGACGGUACUGUAUGAAUAAGGAUCGGCUAACUUCGUGCCAGCAGCCGCGGUAAUACGAAGGAUCCAAGCGUUGUCCGGAUUUACUGGGUUUAAAGGGUGCGUAGGCGGACUAUUAAGUCAGUGGUGAAAGCUGGUAGCUUAACUAUCAAACUGCCAUUGAAACUGAUAGUCUCGAGUAUAGUUGAGGUAGCUGGAAUGUAUCAUGUAGCGGUGAAAUGCUUAGAUAUGAUACAGAACACCAAUUGCGAAGGCAGGUUGCUAAUCUAUAACUGACGCUGAGGC
rnacentral:rRNA from 1 species